UACGUAGGGUGCAAGCGUUGUCCGGAAUUAUUGGGCGUAAAGAGCUCGUAGGCGGUCUGUCGCGUCUGCUGUGAAAAUCCAGGGCUCAACCCUGGACCUGCAGUGGGUACGGGCAGACUAGAGUGCGGUAGGGGAGAUCGGAAUUCCCGGUGUAGCGGUGAAAUGCGCAGAUAUCAGGAGGAACACCGGUGGCGAAGGCGGAUCUCUGGGCCGUAACUGACGCUGAGGAGCGAAAGCAUGGGGAGCGAACAGG
rnacentral:rRNA from 1 species